GACGAAGGAUGCAAGCGUUAUCCGGAUUCAUUGGGUUUAAAGGGUGCGUAGGCGGCCUGAUAAGUCAGUGGUGAAAUCUCCUCGCUUAACGAGGAAACUGCCAUUGAUACUGUCGGGCUUGAGUACAGAUGCUGUGGGCGGAAUAUGACAUGUAGUGGUGAAAUACAUAGAGAUGUCAUAGAACACCGAUUGCGAAGGCAGCUCACAAAACUGUAACUGACGCUGAGGCACGAAAGUGCGGGGGAUCAAACAGG
rnacentral:rRNA from 1 species